UUUUUUUUUAAGUAGCCAGAUAGGGAAACAAUAUUGCAGAUUGAUUAGAAACCUGGUUUGAUUCCCUUUGAUAUGUAUCCACCAUUCAAAAUUGGACAGUUUAUUACUUCCUGGAUGCUCCGCAAGGUGAGUCCCAUGUGGAGUUUGAUGUUCAGUGUGUCUAUGACUGGACAUGACCUUGCUGCACAGAUCCUGCCUGUGGCCAGCAGAAAGAGAGAGGUGCUGUGCUGGGUUUCAUCUGCUGCCCCCAUCCCCAGGAGCUGGAUGAGACCCUUUGGGAGAUGUUUUGUUCCAUGCCCACAUGUCCACACGACCUGCUGAUGUCUGUCCAUGGUUGAUGUUCUCCUACAGCAGGUCCCAGUGUGGUGAGCCUGCCCCAGCACAAGUGCCAGCAGCCCAGGCGGUGGGCACAAGAGCUUCCCACAGACUGACAGAGGUGGCAGCGAGAUAAAGUGCUAGAGGUGGCCGGGAGGGGACCCUGCUGUCCACAGGGAUCACAGGGAAGGGCUCUUUCCUGCAGCUGUGUGGCCAGGAGCCUCCCCAGUGCAAGGGACAGGGUCAGUGAGCCCCAUUGUCCCCUCAGUCGCCCCUCCACACUGGAAGCACCAGCAGUGACGAGAAACCACAGGUCCCAAACCUAGUGAGCAGAGGCCAGCAGUGCCAGGGGGUGCUGGGGGGUGCUGAGGACACGCGGGGCUGCAGCUCUGAGCUCCCGGGUGACUCAUGUUGGGGUGAGUCAGGAGCUUCCCACAGGCAGGGUCUGGAGAGGUUCAUCGAUGAAGCACUUCUCACCGCAGGGGCCAGCAGCAUUCCUGCUUCCCAGAGCAAGCCCCGGCGCGGCAGGAUGCUGACACACGGAUGAGUCCAUGUGGAGACUGGGGUUUGUAGAGGGGCUGCGGCAAAGCAGGACCUUGUCCUCUCUCUGCUCAUGGGACGCUCAUCAGGGUCCCCACGUGCUGCUCCAGGGGAGCUGGGGUUCUGGUUGCCCACAAGGACAUGAUAAGGCACAUAAGUGUUCCUAGAUGAGGUGGCAGGUUGCACUGGAGGAUCUGAGCAUCGAGGGUGCUAGCACCAGAGGGGUGUGACCAUAAGGACAUGCCACUUACAGGCAGCGAACAGGUCACCUGGACACACAGGGACAAUGGGAAAAGCCCCAGAGGCAGAGGACAGCACAAGGCUGAGGGUGGCAGACACAGCACCCUGUGGUCACGGGGCAGUGGGCGCCCCAACAGGGUGCUGAGGGUCCCUCAGCAGGGAUCCCAUGUGCCCCUUUCUGCAGGUCUCCCACCACCCGGCCUGGACACUUGCGGGAAGCCUUGUAUCAAUGCCAGUGCAGCAGAACACAGUUCAUCCUCCGCUGUCACUGCCAGGCCUCAAACUGUUGCACCAGAAACAUGAUAAAAUGACCUGGGGGUAAAAGUGAAGAGGAAAUUCCCAUUUUAGAUAAAGAGGGAAUUAAGAAAUUGAUGCCUAGAGAGAGUGCAGGGCUGGAAACACAGGACAUGAACCAGUUUCUUCAGGUUAUAUUGUCUACAACUGAGGAGUAAUGGAAAGCAUCAAUGGAAAAAUGAUGCCACUGAGGGUGAUAUCCAACUGUGAGAGAUGGAGAAGGAGGGGAUGAAGGUGAAAAAGUGGGUUUAGGGCCCAUCUGCAGCAGCCAGUGUCAAAAUACUAAGCAAUGCCCCGCAGCAUGGCUGGAGCAGCGGCUGGGGCUGGGGGGGUCUCACUGGUGCAUGACCAUGGUCCUACAGACACUGCUGUGAUGGUGAUGCUCAGCCAUGGAGGAGGCUUUCUCUCCAAGCUUCACCAAGCCAAGUGCAGGGAAAGAAGGAAAAUAACCCUCCAAACACCCCGGAAACACAGAUCCUUGUAGUUGCUUCUGGCCAGAGCCAGACUCACACCCCAAUGUGUCCUGAUGGGAAGCAGGGAGGCUCAGCAUCCCUGCCCUGCCAGAACGGGUCCUUACACAGGCACAGGGUGGGCACAGGUGCCCUCUGCCAUCUUCUGAUGGAAAUCAGGACAAAACGGCACACUGUGACCAUAGGAAGUGUCACCAGGGGGUCGUGCCAUGGCCAGGAUUCAACAGGGACUGCUGGGGUGCAGCAUGGUGAUGGCCACCUUAUAAGGUCACUUGCAGUAAAGCCCGGGCAGGAGCUUACGGAAAUAGGGAUGUCUAAAGUGGAAAAAGUGGUUUUUUGCCCAAGGGCUGAGGGGGGGGUGAGAUGUUCCUGGGGGGAAGGCACGGCACGGCCAGGAGCUCUGCGAGAGGGAAUGCGAGUCUCUGCGCUGCCUGUGUGUAAAUGCCUGUGUGUAAAUGUCACAGCAGUGCUCAGCCCCCCUGGGCAUCCACCCCUGUGCCCACCCAUUGCCUUCGAGGACAGAGAAGGCUCAGGGGGGACCUUAUUGCUCUCUACAACUACCUGACAGGAAGGUGGAGCCAGGAGGUCUCUGCUCCCAAGGAACAAGGGAUGGGACAAGAGGAAACGGCCUCAAGCUGCACCAGGGGAGUUUAGAUGGAGAUUAGGAACAACUCCUUCCCCAAAGGGUGCUCAGGCAUUGGAACAGGCUGCCCAGGGCAGUGCUGGAGUCACUGUUCCUGGAAGUGUUCACACACCGUGUAGACGAGGCCCUCAGUGCCAUGGGUUAGUGGUGGCCUUGGCAGUGCUGGGGAUCGGUUGGACUUGAUGAGCUUAAAGGUCUUCUCCAACCUACAUGAGCCUAUGAUGCUAUGAAUGCUGGGAGAGCUUCUGGAAGAGCUGGACCAGGGUCAGUGUGGGUGCUGGGGAUGGGUCGCGGCGUAAGUCAAGUCCCACAGGCUGGGGAGUGUGCUGGGCACUGGAGAUGCUCUCUGCCCUUUGCUGCUGUCAGGGACACAGCUCCUGGCACCCCAGCAAGGAUGCCGGGGCCUGAUGGGUGCCGUGGGGUUGGCACUGCCAGGGUGGCAUUUUGGAGAGCUCUGCCACCCUCUUGCCAUGCCCAGGCUGGAGGGAGGCAGAAGUAAAGCAAAGGCCUCAUUCUCCGGCCACCUCUGGUUUAACGAUCUCAUGGAGGCCACUUAUUUUCAGCUGUCCCAAAUCACCAGUGCAAAUGAGACAGUCCCCUCCAGCGCAGACCCUGAAACGAGAGCCCUCCACUUCCAG
ensembl:lncRNA